rnacentral:rRNA from 1 species
UACGUAGGGUGCAAGCGUUGUCCGGAAUUAUUGGGCGUAAAGAGCUCGUAGGCGGUUUGUCGCGUCUGCUGUGAAAACUCGGGGCUUAACCCCGGGCCUGCAGUGGGUACGGGCAGACUAGAGUGCGGUAGGGGAGACUGGAAUUCCUGGUGUAGCGGUGAAAUGCGCAGAUAUCAGGAGGAACACCGGUGACGAAGGCGGGUCUCUGGGCCGAUACUGACGCUGAGGAGCGAAAGCGUGGGGAGCGAACAGG